rnacentral:rRNA from 1 species
UAGGUCCUACGGGACGCAGCAGUCGAGAAUCAUUCACAAUGGGGGAAACCCUGAUGGUGCGACGCCGCGUGAGUGAAGAAGUAUUUCGGUAUGUAAAGCUCUGUCAGCAGGGAAGAAGAAAGACGGUACCUGACCAAGAAGCCCCGGCUAACUACGUGCCAGCAGCCGCGGUAAUACGUAGGGGGCAAGCGUUAUCCGGAUUUACUGGGUGUAAAGGGAGCGUAGACGGCAGGGCAAGUCUGGAGUGAAAGGCAGGGGCCCAACCCCUGGACUGCUCUGGAAACUGUCCGGCUGGAGUGCAGGAG